CAACAAAAUCCCAGAAAAUGUUCAAAACAAAAGUAUAACGCUAUUCAAAAGAAUUGUUAAAAAACGUUUGUGUGGUAAAGGUUACUAUAACAUAAAUGACUUUCUUAAUGAUACCACAGAUUGGGAUUAGAGUGACCGCCCUCAGGCUAUUAAAUAAUAAGUUUAAUUGUACAAUAUUACUUUGUAAACAUAUUUAUUCGAUGAAAAAAAAAGCCCGCUGAGUUUGUUGCGCCCAUUCUUCUCAGGUCUGAGGCAUUCAUUUUGGAAUGGGUGGUAGUUUUUUGACUUUAAAUAAGUGAUGUCACAUCCUAUUUUGAAUAAAAAUAUUUGAAUUUGAA